ACAUGCAUACAACAUAGCGUUAAUGAACUAGAUCCCAUUAUAACUCUUCAUUUAAGAACACUCAGGCUAGAGUAGUACUGGGAUGGGUAACCUCUCGAGAAGUCCUGGUGUCUUGCAUGCC
rnacentral:rRNA from 1 species